rnacentral:rRNA from 1 species
GACAGAGGUCCCAAGCGUUAGGCGGAAUCACUGGGCUUAAAGCGUGUGUAGGCGGGCCUGCAAGUACCUUGUGAAAUCCCACGGCUUAACUGUGGAACUGCUUGGUAUACUGCCGGUCUUGAGGCAUCUAGAGGCAACUGGAACAAACGGUGGAGCGGUGAAAUGCGUAGAUAUCGUUUGGAACGCCCAUGGUGAAAACAGGUUGCUGGGGAUGUUCUGACGCUGAGACACGAAAGCCAGGGGAGCAAACGGG